rnacentral:rRNA from 1 species
GAACGGUAGAGUAGCAAUACUCGAGAGUGGCGAACGGGUGAGUAAUAUAUCGGAACGUGCCCAGUCGUGGGGGAUAACGUAGAGAAAUUUACGCUAAUACCGCAUACGAUCUACGGAUGAAAGCGGGGGAUUCGCAAGAACCUCGCGCGAUUGGAGCGGCUGAUAUCAGAUUAGCUUGUUGGUGAGGUAAAAGCUCACCAAGGCGACGAUCUGUAGCUGGUUUGAGAGAACGACCAGCCACACUGGGACUGAGACACGGCCCAGACUCCUACGGGAGGCAGCAGUGGGGAAUUUUGGACAAUGGGCGAAAGCCUGAUCCAGCAAUGCCGCGUGUGGGAAGAAGGCCUUCGGGUUGUAAACCACUUUUGUACGGAACGAAACGGUUCGCUUUAAUACAGUGGGCUAAUGACGGUACCGUAAGAAUAAGCACCGGCUAACUACGUGCCAGCAGCCGCGGUAAUACGUAGGGUGCGAGCGUUAAUCGGAAUUACUGGGCGUAAAGCGUGCGCAGGCGGUUAUAUAAGACAGUUGUGAAAUCCCCGGGCUCAACCUGGGAGUUGCAUCUGUGACUGUAUAGCUAGAGUACGGUAGAGGGGGAUGGAAUUCCGCGUGUAGCAGUGAAAUGCGUAGAUAUGCGGAGGAACACCGAUGGCGAAGGCAAUCCCCUGGACCUGUACUGACGCUCAUGCACGAAAGCGUG